AGAUUCAGUUGAAUCUCCAAGCUCAGCAAGCUCAUCUUCUACAGCAGUGUUUCCCAACCCUGGCCCUCAAGGUACACUGCCCUGCAUGUUUUAUGUAUUCCUUUGCUUCAAUCCAGCUGAUUUCAAUUGCUGAUUGAUUAACAGGCAUUUGCUGAACUGCAAUCAGUUGAAUUAGGCACAUUAAAGCAGGGAAACCUCUAAAACAUGUAGACAGUCUAAAACAGUGUGCCUUGAGGACCAGGGUUGGGAAACACUGUUCUACACUGAUCACAGAGAACACCAAAGCACAGAGAAGGCGACUGGCUGAAGGACUACCUGACAGUAAGAUGGCAAAAGAUGAGCAUUUCUAUGAUCCUCAGAGUGGACAGGGCUACCUGGCCUAUCGAUUGAAAACCGUUCAAUGUAGAACUGCAAAUGACUUCAAGAGGAGCUCCAGGUCUGCUCAUCAAGGCGGCCCGAAAACUCAGAGGGAAACCUCAACCUCUGAACAGCUGUUUGGUGAUGGAUGCAAAGAAGCAAUGUCCAUAACGAAGCAUGCAUCAGACCAGGAAGUUGUUAAGGAGAAAAUGAAGGUAACGUUUAAGCAUAGACAAAAUAUGCUACAUGAUCUGGACCAGUCAUCACUCAUUUCGGAUCACUUCCCAAUAUUCUUGGAUACACCAGGCUUGAUUGAGCAGGACUUUAUCAUGCUCUUUGGAGAAGAUAUCUUGGGGAAGUUUAUUGCAAGAUGGCCUUGCUGAUUGUGUUGUGAAGUUCAUGAAGGUGGGGACAAGCAUGGCGAUAUUUCUUGGCAAAGUUGGAUCUGCACAGCCCUUCCUCCUCUGCGUUGGAAAAAAGAAGAGCAGUAUUCAGAAGUUCUACAUCAUCCUGGAUCAGAAGUCCAUUCCUUGUGUGGCACAGACUGCAGUGGCUGCCUUCGAUGAACUGUUUAAGGCGCACUUGUGUUUGCAGUAUCCUACGAUGUUGUUCAUCUGUUUUUUACACAUAUUCUGUGUUAAAGAAGCACUUGAUGAAAGCACAUGUAGACACUAUUACCAUAGAUUCUGUUUAUGUGGACAAUGUUGGUACAGAUAGCGUUAAGGCUGAUGAUUAUCUGAAUGCUUUCAGAAUAGAGAUUGUGGAUGAUAAAACAUUUUGCUGUAAGAUUAA